rnacentral:rRNA from 1 species
AGAACGAACGCUGGCGGCAGGCUUAACACAUGCAAGUCGAGCGCUCGCAGCAAUGCGGGAGCGGCAGACGGGUGAGUAACGCGUGGGAACAUACCCUUCGGUUCGGAAUAGCUCAGGGAAACUUGAAUUAAUACCGGAUACGGCCAGAAGUGAAAAUUUCUGGCGAAAGAUUUAUCGCCGAAGGAUUGGCCCGCGUUCGAUUAGCUAGUUGGUGAGGUAACGGCUCACCAAGGCGACGAUCGAUAGCUGGUCUGAGAGGAUGAUCAGCCACAUUGGGACUGAGACACGGCCCAAACUCCUACGGGAGGCAGCAGUGGGGAAUAUUGGACAAUGGGCGCAAGCCUGAUCCAGCCAUGCCGCGUGAGUGAUGACGGCCUUAGGGUUGUAAAGCUCUUUCGCUAGGGACGAUAAUGACGGUACCUAGACAAGAAGCCCCGGCUAACUUCGUGCCAGCAGCCGC